rnacentral:rRNA from 1 species
UGGUGCCAGCAGCCGCGGUAAUUCCAGCUCCAAUAGCGUAUAUUAAAGUUGUUGCAGUUAAAAAGCUCGUAGUUGAAUUUCGGGGUUAGUAGGUUGGUCAUGCCUCUGGUAUGUACUGGUCUCACUGAUUCCUCCUUCCUUAUGAACCGUAAUGCCAUUAAUUUGGUGUUGCGGGGAAUUUGGACUGUUACUUUGAAAAAAUUAGAGUGUUUAAAGCAAGCUAACGCUUGAAUACAUUAGCAUGGAAUAAUGAAAUAGGACGUUCGACCUUAUUUUGUUGGUUUCUAGGAUUGACGUAAUGAUUAAUAGGGAUAGUUGGGGGCAUUAGUAUUCAAUUGUCAGAGGUGAAAUUCUUGGAUUUAUUGAAGACUAACUACUGCGAAAGCAUUUGCCAAGGAUGUUUUCAUUAAUCAAGAACGAAAGUUAGGGGAUCGAAGACGAUCAGAUACCGUCGUAGUCUUAACCAUAAACUAUGCCGACUAGGGA